rnacentral:rRNA from 1 species
CCCUUAGAGUUUGAUCCUGGCUCAGAGUGAACGCUGGCGGCAGGCCUAACACAUGCAAGUCGAACGGUAGCACAGAGGAGCUUGCUCCUUGGGUGACGAGUGGCGGACGGGUGAGGAAUACAUCGGGAUCUACCUUUUCGUGGGGGAUAACGUAGGGAAACUUACGCUAAUACCGCAUACGCCCUACGGGGGAAAGCGGCGGACCGCAAGGCGUCGCGCGAUGAGAUGAACCGAUGUCCGAUUAGCUAGUUGGCGGGGUAAAGGCCCACCAAGGCGACGAUCGGUAGCUGAUCUGAGAGGAUGAUCAGCCACACUGGAACUGAGACACGGUCCAGACUCCUACGGGAGGCAGCAGUGGGGAAUAUUGGACAAUGGGCGCAAGCCUGAUCCAGCCAUGCCGCGUGGGUGAAGAAGGCCUUCGGGUUGUAAAGCCCUUUUGUCCGGAAAGAAAAGCACGGGAUUAAUACCCUCGUGUGAUGACGGUACCGGAAGAAUAAGCACCGGCUAACUUCGUGCCAGCAGCCGCGGUAAUACGAAGGGUGCAAGCGUUACUCGGAAUUACUGGGCGUAAAGCGUGCGUAGGUGGUUUGUUAAGUCUGUCGUGAAAUCCCCGGGCUCAACCUGGGAAUGGCGAUGGAUACUGGCAAGCUAGAGUGAGGUAGAGGAGAGUGGAAUUCCCGGUGUAGCAGUGAAAUGCGUAGAGAUCGGGAGGAACAUCAGUUGCGAAGCGGCUCUCUGGACCAUCACUGACACUGAGCACGAAAGCGUGGGGAGCAAC